UACAGUUCAGGGGUUCCGCAAGAAGUUACAAAACUGCUAAAAUUGGCAGUAAUUUUUAAUUCUCCUGUGCAGAUAUGUGUGCAUAAGACUAUUAAAUUAUUGCACAGGGGUUCCUCGAGCCAGUGGAAUGUCUCCUUGGGCUUCCGCUCCAGCAAAACAUUUGAAAAGCACUGGAUUAGAGUGUUGGAAAAACACAGAGA